rnacentral:misc_RNA from 1 species
GGAGCAACAAAGAUGUACUGUAUUGGCACUCUGGCAGUAAUUAGUGUUUGGAUGUGGUGUGUGUAGGGAAGAAUGAGAUUAAAAUGAUUGGCUAUUUCAAUUUCGAUGUUGUGUUGGUAUUAUUUAUGUGCGACGGUCAUUUCAUAUGUUAAAUGCAAUCAGGAGAGUGGAAUGUGUAAAUAUUUGGGCAUUGUGUGGGCGCUGAUGACCGCGCAGUUGAGCGACUGACAAUCCAAUCAUCAUCAAACAGUUUUGACGGGCGCUUGGGGUGCGACGGAAGUGAAUAUUACGAUUGAAAACACUUUUAAAAAAUGUGUGGUAUAUAUUUCGCUGUUUACAGAGGCAACGACGUGUAUCAAUGCCAGCGGUCCAAUUGUGACCAUAAUCAAUGUGAUGGAUCCAUAUAUGAGGUUCAUGUGAAAGACCAGUUGGAAUCCAGAGGCCCUGACACAACUUCGGUAGUCCAGAAUUAUGACAUGGAUGGCUGGGCUGUAUUCAGUGCAGCAAGUGUAUUGUGGAUGCAAGGGAAGCACCCCACACCUCAACCAUUGGUUGACAGUGCUGGUAAUAUUCUGCUGUGGAAUGGGGAUAUCUUCUAUGGAUCAUUGGCACCUGAUGAUUCAACUUCAGAUACUUUAAGUGUUGUCGAAAACUUGAGCAAGUGCCACAACAAUGAAAUGAUCAUUCAAACAAUAAGCAAGUUCAGAGGUCCAUUUUCAUUUGUGUAUCUGAAUCCUACAACUAGACAACUCUGGUUCGGCAGAGAUGUUCUGGGCCGUCACAGCUUACUUUCACACAGCAGUAACAACUCGCUUGUGAUAACAUCAGUAUCAACAAGAGAACUGGAUUGUCAAGAGGUUCCAGCAGUUGGUGUUUUCCUGGCGGAGAUGACUGACAAAGGCAGCAUAUCAAUCAAACUUUAUCCAUGGUCUGGAAUUUCUGAGACUAGACUGUCUGCUGCAGUGGAUCUCUAUCACGUGGACUUAAAUAUUGAUCAGUGUUUCAUAGAAUCACCGCUGUCAGGUUGUUAUAUGAAUACAGACUGCAUCCCAUCUUCAGUAAUUGAAUCUUACUGGCUGAAGUAUAACAGUGAGAACAUACCUGAUUUCUUCACAACACUACUCAUGGAUGAAUCAGUCUGCAAGAAUGUCGACAGGCUUCUAAACUUAUUGAACUUUUCUGUGAAAGUGCGCUGUGGUAAACAGUGUGAGCUGUGUAAAAACUGUGUAAAGCAGUUCAGCAGUAAAAAACGCUGUAAACACUCAAAAGUUGGGAUACUCUUCUCUGGAGGUCUAGAUUCAAGUGUUAUAGCAGCCCUUGCAAGUGAAUGUAUUCCAAAAGACGAACCUAUUGAUUUAAUAAAUGUGGCUUUUGAACCGAAGAAGAGAAUUUGUAGAGGAAACAAAAAAGCAGCUGUGAAUCGUGCAGAUUAUAAUGUUCCUGACAGAAAGACGGGAGUUCAAUCGUACAGACAACUCCAAUCUCUCUAUCCAGAAAGAAAAUGGAAUUUUAUUCAGGUGGAUGUGACACGAGAGGAGUUGAAGAACAGAUGUCUCCAAAGAAUUUCUGAUCUCAUACAUCCUCUUAAAACUGUUUUAGAUGAGUCACUGGGCUGUGCUCUGUGGUUUGCCAGUAGAGGACAGGGAAGUCUGCUUGAUUGUGACCAAAAUAUGCUCUGUUCAUCACCAUCCAGAAUCCUUCUAGUUGGCAUGGGUGCAGAUGAACAACUGGGUGGUUAUCGUCGACACAGAUCCGCACUCCGGACUGGUGGAUGGCCAGCAUUGCAAGAGAUGUUGAAGUCGGAUUUAGACAAUAUUUCGUCUCGGAAUCUUGGAAGAGAUGAUCGGGUUGUUGCUGAUCAUGGCUGUCAAGCUCGCUUCCCUUUUCUGGAUGAGGCUGUUGUUAGUUUCCUCACAUCACUCCACCCGUGGGAAAAAUUGAUGAAGAUGACCGAGAUGGGAUGGUUUACUACCAGCAAGAUGGUGCAUCACGUCGUUUUCUCAUGGAAGUUUGAGGUUUCCUCGAUAAUUGCUUCCCAGUUUAGCUGGCCUGAAAAAUCAAAUCUACAGUGCCAUUGCACAAGUUACACCCGAUUUGCUGCUUCGAGUCUGGGAAGGAAUUGACUACCGGUGGGAUGUUUGUCGCAUCACAAAUGGUAAUCACAUUGGAUCAAAGUGACACGUGACACAUCUACUGAUUCUGUGCUUUCCUGUGGAGAACUGCCCUCCAGGAGUUGGUGACAAGCUCCUAUUAAGACUGGCAGCCUGCAAGCUUGGCCUCCAUGAAAUAGCAAGACUACCUAAGAGAGCUAUGCAGUUUGGGUCAAAAAUUGCAGAUA